AUUGAACGCUGGCGGCAGGCUUAACACAUGCAAGUCGAGCGGGGGAAGGUAGCUUGCUACUGGACCUAGCGGCGGACGGGUGAGUAAUGCUUAGGAAUCUGCCUAUUAGUGGGGGACAACAUCUCGAAAGGGAUGCUAAUACUGCAUACGUCCUACGGGAGAAAGCAAGGGAUCUUCGGACCUUGCGCUAAUAGAUGAGCCUAAGUCGGAUUAGCUAGUUGGUGGGGUAAAGGCCUAACAAGGCGACGAUCGGUAGCGGGUCUGAGAGGAUGAGCCGCCACACUGGGACUGAGACACGGCCCAGACUCCUACGGGAGGCAGCAGUGGGGAAUAUUGGACAAUGGGGGGAACCCUGAUCCAGCCAUGCCGCGUGUGUGAAGAAGGCCUUAUGGUUGUAAAGCACUUUAAGCGAGGAGGAGGCUACUUUAGUUAAUACCUAGAGAUAGUGGACGUUACUCGCAGAAUAAGCACCGGCUAACUCUGUGCCAGCCGCCGCGGUAA
rnacentral:rRNA from 1 species